AAAGAUUAAGCCAUGCAUGUCUAAGCACAUGCCUUAAUACGGUGAAGCCGCGAAUAGCUCAUUACAACAGCCACCGUUUACUAGAAUAUAGUAAUCCUACUCGGAUAACUGUGGCAAUUCUAGAGCUAAUACGUGCAAAAAAGCUCCGCCCGCAAGGAACGAGCGCAUUUAUUAGAAUAAAAACCAAUCGGGUCUCGGCCCGUAAUUUGGUGAAUCUGAAUAACUUUGCCAAUCGCACAGUCCUAGUACUGGCGAUGUAUCUUUCAAGUGUCUGCCUUAUCAACUUUCGAUGGUAGGUUAUACGCCUACCAUGGUAGUAACGGGUAACGGAGAAUAAGGGUUCGACUCCGGAGAGGGAGCCUGAGAAACGGCUACCACAUCCAAGGAAGGCAGCAGGCGCGCAAAUUACCCACUUCCAGAACGGAGAGGUAGUGACGAAAAAUAACGAGACAGUCCUCUUCGAGGUCUGUCAUCGGAAUGGGUACAAUUUAAAUCCUUUAACGAGGAUCUAUUGGAGGGCAAGUCUGGUGCCAGCAGCCGCGGUAAUUCCAGCUCCAAUAGCGUAUAUUAAAGUUGUUGCGGUUAAAACGCUCGUAGUUGGAUCUGCGGCCUCGGAGAACGGUCCCCCGAAAGGGCGGUCACUGUCUCUCCUAGCCUAAAUUCGAGUCAUCUCCAGGUGCUCUUUACCGAGUGCUUAGAGUGACUAGAACGUUUACUUUGAAAAAAUUAGAGUGCUUAAAGCAGGCGAAAUAGCCUGAAUAAGGUGCAUGGAAUAAUGGAAUAGGACCUCGGUUCUAUUUUGUUGGUUUUCGGAACCCGAGGUAAUGAUUAAGAGGAACAGACGGGGGCAUUCGUAUUCCGGCGCUAGAGGUGAAAUUCUUGGACCGCCGGAAGACGGACGACGGCGAAAGCAUUUGCCAAGAAAUG
rnacentral:rRNA from 1 species